CCUCGGCGGAGGAGAGGUGGCUCAGUGGGUAGAGAACGGGGCUCUGACUCUCGGGGUUGUGGGUUCAAAUCCCACGUCGGGCG